GUAAAAUGUUCACUAUUUACAGAUGACAUUAUACUAUAUAUAGAAAACCCUAAAGACUCCACCAAAAAACUACUAGGACUGAUAAAUGAAUCCAGUAAAAUCACAGGAUAUAAAACUAAUGUACAGAAAUCUGUUGCAUUACUAUAUACUAACAAUGAAUCAGGAGAGAGAGA